ensembl:snoRNA
GUGUAUGUAUUUAAACCCCAUCCUUGGGUCCCCAUGUCCCCCAGGGACUAUAUAUGACAUCGUGGCUGCCCUCAAGCUGGGCUGGUUGGGCUGAUCUGAUAAAC